AAAGUCGUAACAAGGUCUCCGUUGGUGAACCAGCGGAGGGAUCAUUACCGAGUUUACAACUCCCAAACCCCCAUGUGAACCUUACCGACCCGUUGCCUCGGCGGGUGCCCCGGGCGCGUCGCAGCCCCGGACCAAGGCGCCCGCCGGAGGACCAACUUGGCAAACUCUCCUUCUCGUGGGGAGCCGACCACCCCUCGCGGGGCGGCGCGGCCCUCCCCCCCAUUCCUCCUCUGAGCGUCCCCCCUCGGCGCCCCCCCCCUCAGCGGGCGCGUCGGAGGGGACAAAAACAAAAACAAAACGAAUCAAAACUUUCAACAACGGAUCUCUUGGUUCUG
rnacentral:misc_RNA from 1 species